rnacentral:rRNA from 1 species
UAAUACGUAGGCAGCAAGCGUUGUUCGGAGUUACUGGGCGUAAAGAGUGUGUAGGCGGUUCUCUAAGUUCGGUGUGAAAUCUCCCGGCUCAACUGGGAGGGUGCGCCGAAGACUGGAGGGCUUGAGUGCGGGAGAGGAAAGCGGAAUUCCUGGUGUAGCGGUGAAAUGCGUAGAUAUCAGGAGGAACACCUGCGGUGUAGACGGCUUUCUGGACCGUAACUGACGCUGAGACACGAAAGCGUGGGUAGCAAACAGGAUUAGAUACCCUGGUAGUCCACGCCCUAAACGAUGCAUACUUGGUGUGGGCAGUUCAUUCUGUCCGUGCCGGAGCUAACGCGUUAAGUAUGCCGCCUGGGGAGUACGGUCGCAAGGCUG